CUCGGCGACUUGAAACCUUCCCAAAAGAAUAACUAUAAAAUACAAGCGACGAGGUUAACUCAUGAAAUUGAUGACAUGAGGCGCAGACUCGAAAAUGCCAAGAUGAAACUGACAGCUGAGAUGAAGCUACGCAAUCAGGCAGAAACGGAACUUCGAGCAUUGCGUGCGGAAUUAACUCAGCAGAAAAUCCAGCUGACUUUGGCACGAAGCCAGCAGAUGGCCAAAUUGACCCCAACCACGCAUGAUUCACGUCUGGAUUCACGUCUGUUGACCUCCUCGUAUUCGUAGCAAUUCCUUGUUGAUAUAAGAUACAUUUUAUAUUGAUAUUAUUGUAAAAAAAAAAAAAGUAAUAUAUGUUCAACUUUAUGAAUGUAGAAAAGAAAACUGUAGUUUUAUGCCAUCUUGUACAUUGCAAGAAUUGUAACAAUUCAAUAUUGAUGUCUAGACUUCAAGAUGUACAUAUUAUAAACAGUUGUAGCAUCAAUUAAGACAUAUCUUAAAUGAUUAGAUGGAAGUUUGCAUGGUUAGUUUGACAAUGGUCAAUAGUUUUAAACGGUUCUUUAGAAAUAUUGACCUUUACAUGCACACUCUGGGUUUACAGCUUUAAGAAUGAUUCAAUUUUUUUUUUUUAAAUAAUACACUUAAGUUUAUUUUUAAUUAUUCAAUUUUUUUAAAAACCCUUUCAGUAUAAAGGGGUAUUAAAAUUCUUCAUGUAUUUAUGCUGAUCCUUUUUGUAUUCUUUAUACUGUAUGAAUUAAAAUCAUUUCAAUGCUGAAUUUUUUUUCCAUGCAUCCACAAUUAAUGGAAACUUAAUACAUACAUCUAUGUACAUGAAAUUGAGUUUUGUUUAUGUUGAAAACAAUCUUCUUUCUCUUUUUUGUUGUAAUACCCUUUUAAAUUCAUGUGUGUAACCACAUCUCUUCAAUCCAUUUACCGUAAUUCUGUUAAUGCAUGUACACUAGGAUGAGAGUCUGCAUUUGUAUAUUAAUCAAUUAUGAUUUUCUGUUUUGUUUUUUGAUUGUUAAUUUUGUUUCAUACGUCUUGUCAGCUGUUGAUCUGUGAUAUUUCCAUCAAUUUCUGUGAUUCAUUUACUUACACUGUAGACUGUACCAUAUCCACAUGUAUUUAUAUUUAUCUUCAAUCUUACAUGAUGUUUGGGAUGAGUGUCAUAUCAUAUUGUGUUAUAUUCUAUUUUAUUUUUUUGGUGUUUCUUUACAAAUAAUCAAGAUAUUCUUUUUAAUGAAAAAAUAUUAAUUUAUAACAAUAUUCUUUAGUUUCUUUUUUUUUUGUUCCUUGAGAGAUCAAUUCAUGCAUAAAAAAAAAACUAGUACAUGUAUUAUAUACAGGAUAUUUUACAAAUUCACUGUGAUUUUUGUUACAUGUUGAAAUCUGCAAAUCAUCAAGACCACCUUUAUUUUUUUUACGUUAUGAGAGACUUUACAUUCGUAUAUGUACAUGUAGUUUAAUUUUGUAUGCUCUGUAUUGUUUUAAAAGCUUUGUGUAUCUCUGAAUCAGUAUUUCCACCUUUUGUCUUUUAUAACUUUUAUUUAUUUACCAUCCUGUCCAAUUCUGUAUAUUAUUUAUAUAACAAAGGACAGUAUUUGGUACAUGGAACCCCAAAAGUUCUUUUGUCAUAUUGAAUAAAUCUUUUAAAAAGAAUUG
rnacentral:misc_RNA from 1 species